CGGCAGCCCUAGUGGUGACCGUUUUUAUUUGGCCUAAAGCGUCCGUAGCUGGUUUAGUAAAUCUCUUGUGAAAUCGUUCGGCUCAACCGAGCGGCGUGCAGGAGAGACUGCUAAACUAGGGAUCGGGAGGAGUCAGAGGUAUGCCUGGGGGAGCGGUAAAAUGCUAUAAUCCCAAAAGGACCACCUGUGGCGAAGGCGUCUGACUAGAACGGAUCCGACGGUGAGGGACGAAAGCCAGGGGAGCGAUCCGGAUUAGAGACCCGAGUAGUCC
rnacentral:rRNA from 1 species